rnacentral:rRNA from 1 species
AAUGAACGCUGGCGGCGUGCCUAAUACAUGCAAGUCGAGCGACAGCACGGUAAGCUUGCUUCUCUGCUGUUAGCGACUGGCGGGUGAGUAACACAUGGAUCACCUACUUCUUAGUCUUGGGUAACUUCGGGAAGCAGCUUACGAUAAUAGAUCAUAUUUCCAACGGGUUAGUUCAAAAGUGCAUCAGACCCUGCCUGUCUCUUUUAGCUGAUUCCGGGGUACAUUGGCUAGUUGGUAAGGUAACGGCUUACCAAGGCAACGAUGCAUGGCCGACCUGAGAGGGUGAUCGGCCACAAUGGAACUGAGACACGGUCCAGACUCCUACGGGAGGCAGCAGUAGGGAAUAUUCGGCAAUGGGCGAAAGCCUGACGGAGCAACGCCGCGUGAGUGAUGAAGGUCUUCGGAUUGUAAAACCCUUUUAUUAGGGAAGAAAAGCUGUAGAAUUAACUGCGCAUAUUUUGACGGUACCCAAUCAGAAAGCACCGGCUAACUACGUG